rnacentral:tRNA from 1 species
GCCGUCGUAGCUCAGCCGGUCAGAGCACAGAGCUGAUAACUCUGAGGUCAGCGGUUCGAUUCCGUUCGACGGCA